rnacentral:rRNA from 1 species
UACGGGGGGGGCAAGCGUUGUUCGGAAUUACUGGGCGGAAAGGGCUCGUAGGUGGCCAACUAAGUCAGACGUGAAAUCCCUCGGCUUAACCGGGGAACUGCGUCUGAUACUGGAUGGCUUGAGUUCGGGAGAGGGAUGCGGAAUUCCAGGUGUAGCGGUGAAAUGCGUAGAUAUCUGGAGGAACACCGGUGGCGAAGGCGGCAUCCUGGACCGACACUGACGCUGAGGAGCGAAAGCCAGGGGAGCAAACGGG